rnacentral:rRNA from 1 species
UACGUGGGGUGCAAGCGUUAUCCGGAUUUAUUGGGCGUAAAGAGUUCGUAGGCGCCCUGAUGCAUCUUGUUUCAAAGACCCGAGCUUAACUCGGGGCAGGGGCAAGAGAUGAUCAGGGUUUAGAGUCUGUUAGGGGGUACUGGAACUGACAGUGUAGCAGUGAAAUGCGUUGAUAUUGUCAGGAACACCAAGGGCGAAGGCAGGUACCUGGGACACGACUGACGCUGAGGAACGAAAGCUAGGGGAGCGA